rnacentral:lncRNA from 1 species
CCUUUUAAGUAUAGUUUUUAAAUUUUUAAACAUUUUUUUAUUUGAAAUUGUAAAACUCAAAAUAUAAUCAAAUUAGUAACUAAAGUGCAAAACUGGAGACAACUAAUAGUACUAUUCAUCCAAAAUCUAAUUGACUCAAUCGAUUGGGUACCAAAAUUAAUCGAUCCCCUCAGCUGUAACGAUCAAAAAUUAAGUGAAAUUCAAGAAUCAAUCGAUCUCCUUUCAAAACCAAUCAAUCCUUCGUUUCCAAACAAGCACCAUCGACUAGUUUUGAAAGAGAAAAUCAUAUGUUUUCAUUUCCUAAGUUUCUCCAACAGUUAGUUCCUCAAUUCUUCUACAAAUUGAGCAUUCCAACACACUAAGAAAGUUAAAAAAAUAAGAGAGCAAGCACCAACAAGUCAUAUUUUUAUUCUCUCAAAAAAAAUCAAAACUUUUAGAGCCAAAAUUCCAUAUUUGUUGUAUCCAAACCAUCUUCAUUGUAUUAAUUCAUCAAUAUCCUUGUACUUUAUUAGGCAAACACUUGACCUUUAAAAAGUGUUUUAGUUUGCAUUUCAAUUGAGUGAUUUUGUAAUCAAGAGGUAAAAUAUCCUCUUAUAUUUGUGAGAUUAUGAGGUUGCUACUUAGCCUAGAAAUUAAAGAAUGUUUAAGUUACUAUCUAAGCCUUAGAAAAAAGAUAGAGUUGUAAUCUUUCUUCAAUUAGUGAAUUCAAGUCUUGGUGAAGACAACUAAUAGAGAGAACGUUAGUGCCUUGAAAAAAGGACUAAACAUUUAUAAAUCUUUGCGUUGAUUUCUCUAUCCCUACACUUUUUACACUUAUUGUUGUUUAUAUUUGUUUCUAAGCUUAUUAAUUGUUGUUGUUUACAUCAUAUUUUUCAUUAAAAAGCUCAUUGUUUUAAUUCUUCAUUCAAUUGUUUUGAAAUCAUUAUUUAAGAAGUAUUUAAAGAAAUCCAAUUUACCUCCUCUUAAAUCACUCUCACCUAAAAAUCUAACAAAAACAUAUAACAUUAAUUGUUCCCCCUUUCCUCCCGAAAAAGCUUCAUUUAGGUUGAUGAAACCAAGACCAACUAAGCUCAGGUAAAUAAGUUUGACACCAAUACAUACACAAAUUUGUCCAACAUAUCAAUAUAUGAAAUUCCUAAUAUUUAAGAUAGUUGGAGUUUCAAUCUAACUUAAAAAUUUCCAAGCAACCAACCAAAAAUCAAAGAAAACACCAGCUUCAUACAAUAAAAGUAAGAAUGUAUGUGAGAUAACCAUAUACUACACUUUUCCGCCAAAGCUUCACUACAAGAGAAUAGGUCUUUAGCAGCGUUUUUUUCA